GAAGUUCGAAAGAUGAGCACGACAACACAAAUCACCAUAGUAGUACUGUCUGUGUUACUGAUUCUUGCAGUCAUAGGGAUCCUGUGUUAUAGUUUCUUAAGGAGGAGGAGAAAGUAUAUAUCAUCUCAAAAAUGUGAUGACACAAAACCGUCUGCACAGCCUCAACCCGACUCAUCUACAUUGGAUAACUCCACACCCCUGUAUGCAGAAGCUGACGUUACCCACCAGACUCACUCAGAGGAGCAGGACCUUCAUUAUUCAAUUGUUAACUUCAAGCAAUCUAACAAGACCACUCCUACUUUUAUAUAUACAUCAAAUGAAAAUGUUUAUUAUGCCACUGUGAAGUCAAAAUAACCCUUAACUACUCUUGCUGUCCACCAUAUUAUAACAAACAUGUCUUCAUGUUAAGUCCUGUGUGUUUGGAUAGUUUUAUCUUUGUAAGUUAAAGUUAAUAAAGUAAACAAAUAUUUGAAACCAUAA